rnacentral:rRNA from 1 species
UACGGAGGGUGCAAGCCUUAAUCGGAUUUAUUGGGCGUAAAGGGCGCGUAGGCGGGAAGAUAAGUCAGAUGUGAAAUCCUGGGGCUCAACCUCAGAACUGCAUUUGAAACUAUCUAUCUAGAGGGUAGGAGGAGAAAACGGAAUUCCACAAGUAGCGGUGAAAUUCGUAGAUAUUGGGAAGAACACCGGUGGCGAAGGCGGCGACCUGGACCAACACUGACGCUGAGGAGCGAAAGCCAGGGGAGCAAACGGG